AUUGAACGCUGGCGGCAGGCCUAACACAUGCAAGUCGAACGGUAACAGGAAACAGCUUGCUGUUUCGCUGACGAGUGGCGGACGGGUGAGUAAUGUCUGGGAAACUGCCUGAUGGAGGGGGAUAACUACUGGAAACGGUAGCUAAUACCGCAUAACGUCGCAAGACCAAAGAGGGGGACCUUCGGGCCUCUUGCCAUCGGAUGUGCCCAGAUGGGAUUAGCUAGUAGGUGGGGUAACGGCUCACCUAGGCGACGAUCCCUAGCUGGUCUGAGAGGAUGACCAGCCACACUGGAACUGAGACACGGUCCAGACUCCUACGGGAGGCAGCAGUGGGGAAUAUUGCACAAUGGGCGCAAGCCUGAUGCAGCCAUGCCGCGUGUAUGAAGAAGGCCUUCGGGUUGUAAAGUACUUUCAGCGGGGAGGAAGGGAGUGAAGUUAAUACCUUUGCUCAUUGACGUUACCCGCAGAAGAAGCACCGGCUAACUCCGUG
rnacentral:rRNA from 1 species